GUAUUCGUAGCCCUUCACGAGGUCCGAACGCUCGACGAGGCCGAGCUCCGGAUCGACGGGCUUCAU
rnacentral:sRNA from 1 species